AACCUUUACACUGCACGCCAGUGCGAUAAGGGGACUCCAAGUGCGAGGGCAUAUAGUCCUCGCUUUUCUGGACCGUAAGGAGGUCCAGGAACAAGGGCUGGGCAAGACCGGUGCCAGCCGCCGCGGUAAUACCGGCAGCCCAAGUGAUGGCCGCUCUUAUUGGGCCUAAAGCGUCCGUAGCUGGCCAGGCAAGUCCGUCGGGAAAUCCGCACGCCCAACGUGCGGGCGUCCGGUGGAAACUGCCUGGCUUGGGACCGGAAGACCUGAGGGGUACGUCCGGGGUAGGAGUGAAAUCCCGUAAUCCUGGACGGACCACCGGUGGCGAAAGCGCCUCAGGAAGACGGAUCCGACGGUGAGGGACGAAAGCUCGGGUCACGAACCGGAUUAGAUACCCGGGUAGUCCGAGCUGUAAACGAUGUCUGCUAGGUGUGACACAGGCUACGAGCCUGUGUUGUGCCGUAAGGAAGCCGUGAAGCAGACCGCCUGGGAAGUACGUCCGCAAGGAUGAAACUUAA
rnacentral:rRNA from 1 species